rfam:Ochrobactrum anthropi ATCC 49188 chromosome 1, complete sequence.
CGGGAAGGACGGCCUUCCCGCUUCUUCAACGAACGGGACGGCCCGU